CUUCGAAUUAAAAUAUUAUGCCUUUGAGCACUAACGAAACCCUAUUUCGUAGUGCUGAGAGACUUUGAAAAGUACAUUCUUUCAAGAGGAUGAGAAGCAAGAACUGCCUCAGCGUGUGCAGGAGCCUGAGUCACUCGUUACGUUCAGAACGUGCAUCUACCCGGAGCAGCAACUUUCGAACUGUGUGGACCUGGUGUAACGGGAUUUCUAUGCCGCAGCGGGAAGCAGACCCU
rnacentral:lncRNA from 1 species